rnacentral:rRNA from 1 species
AUGGUGGGCCUUACGGUCUGCUAAUUGGAAUGAGUUGAAUUCAUAUCCCUUGACGAGGAACAAUUGGAGGGCAAGUCUGGUGCCAGCAGCCGCGGUAAUUCCAGCUCCAAUAGCGUAUAUUAAAGUUGUUGCGGUUAAAAAGCUCGUAGUUGGAUUUCUGGUAUGGUGCGCUUAGCCCAUGCUCGCAAGAGUGUGAGUGCUGAUGUGCGCCUGCCAUCUUGCUAGAAAACGGCCCUGCUCUUCACUGGGUAGAGUCGUGAUCUAGCUCUUUUACUUUGAAAAAAUUAGAGUGUUUAAAGCAGGCUUGCGCUAUGAAUACAUUAGCAUGGAAUAAUAAUCUAGGACUUUGUUCCUAUUUUGUUGGUUUCUGGGAAUGAAGUAAUGAUUGAUAGGGAUGGUUGGGGGUGCUAGUAUUCAGCGGCCAGAGGUGAAAUUCUUGGAUUCGCUGAAGACUAACUAAUGCGAAAGCAUUCACCAAGGACGUCUUCUUUAAUCAAGAACGAAAGUUGGGGGAUCGAAGACGAUCAGAUACCGUCGUAGUCUCAACUAUAAACUAUACCGACUAGGGAUUGGCGGAAGUUGUUCAAUGACUCCGUCAGCACCUUAUGAGAAAUCAAAGUCUUUGGGUUCCGGGGGGAGUAUGGUCGCAAGGCUGAAACUUAAAGAGAUUGACGGAAGGGCACCACCAGGAGUGGAGCCUGCGGCUUAAUUUGACCCAACACGGGGAAACUUACCAGGUCCAGACAUGGGGAGGAUUGACAGAUUGAAGUUCUUUCUUGAUUCUAUGGGUGGUGGUGCAUGGCCGUUCUUAGUUGGUGGAGUGAUUCGUCUGGUUAAUUCCGUUAACGAACGAGACCUCGACCUGCUAAAUAGUUCAGCGUACCCUCGGGUAUGUAUGUGACUUCUUAGAGGGACUGUCGGUUUUUAGCCGAAGGAAGUUCGAGGCAAUAACAGGUCUGUGAUGCCCUUAGAUGUCCUGGGCCGCACGCGCGCUACACUGAUACGUUCAUCGAGCUUACAACCUUGUCUGAGAGGACUGGGUAAUCUUUUCAAAGCGUAUCGUGAUGGGGCUUGUUCAUUGUAAUUAUUGAACAUCAACGAGGAAUUCCUAGUAAACGCGAGUCAUCAGCUCGCAUUGAUUACGUCCCUGCCCUUUGUACACACCGCCCGUCGCUGCUACCGAUUGAACGGAUUAGUAAGCUUCAGGGAUCGCCAUUCGUUGGGGGCAACUUCAGCGGGUGGUGAGAACUGA